ensembl:lncRNA
AUAACGGUUAUGCAUGAGUAUUGCUGAGGGCUCCCACCCACAUAUCUUAUUUCAAAUAGUCCAAAGUGUAAAACUUCCUGCCAAAACAAGUCAGAUCAGCAGAGGACUAGAAAGAUCUACUUGGAAAGAACUGAGAUCUUAACAACAGUGAAGAUGAACUUCUAUCUGAUGAACAAGUUCUAUUUUAGGCUAUAAGAAUUUGUUGUUCAUCUCAAUGCAAUCAAGAAAGAGAAAUUGCUAAAGAAAAGAGUUUUGGAGAGGAAUCUUGGCUGUCCCCUAAAGUACUGUGUAUUAGGAAGGUGUUCUGUCACAACACAUGCCAGAUUAUGUUUUCUUCUCAAAUAAAUGGAGGUGCCAGCAGGGAUGGAAGAGUAACUGACUCCUUAAACAUUAGCCUCUAUGUUGCGAGAAAUCUCUGGAUGUCUUUAGAGGCGCUGACAUGGAGAAGAAACAACAUGCAACCUACAUUCUCAUCUGGGCUUCUUGGCAAUCACCGGCACCAACUUGCUCAGUCUUGCAAUGUCACCAUCUUGAAAGUGGAUCCUUAACCCUCCAGUUAAGCAUGCAGGUUUAUGCUCUGUGGAGCAGGGACAAGUUUUUCCCAUCACACCCCAUGUAAAUUGAAGAUGGAUUUUUUGGCAAACUAGUAGUCAUUGGUGCUUUAAGCCACUAAAUUUUUAGGUGGAUUAUUACAUAAUAGUAAGUGACUUAUUCACUUGCUAAGAGAAAUGCUCUACAUAGGCUAAAAGUCUAUAGAUUAAAGUCUACAGGGACUAUAGCAUGAUCAUUUUUCUUUUGUUUACUAAUUUUUUUACAUUAAUGGUGCUUUCUAAACUGAGGUUUUCAAAACAGGGGUUAAGUGUAUUCUUGUUUCAUCCCCUGGUUAUAGCACUGUACGUUGAAAAUUUUCUUCAGUAUGUAUGUUCAAAGACUGACAUGUGUUCAUCCUUGCCAAAUUAUGUAAUGGGAAACUUGAGUUCAGAAAAAAGAUGAUGAUUUCUUAAGGAACAAAGGUUCCACUCUCUACUAGAUUUAGGAAAGACAUGGAACAUCAAAACACUUAUUUUGUUAGGUAAUCUAUGAGAAGUCUUACAGGACAGGACUUUCAAAUUUUGUUUAAUACUUAAUCAAAUAUUUUGAUCAAUAAAUUUUACUUUUAUUACUCACUUUUGCAAAUGACAUUAUGACAUAAUUGAUAUAUAACAAACUACACAUAUUUGAGUUUCGCAAUUUGGUAAUUUUGUUAUAUUCAUGCACCUGUGUGACUACCACCACCAUCAGUAUAAUGAAAAAAUCUAUCAUCCCCUAAGCUUUCUCCUGGAUAAUCCUAUAUAACCAACCCCUUUUGUAAUUCAAAUUCCUCUCUCCCAUCUCUUACCUGCCCCUCUCUGGGCAACCACUGCUCUGCUUCUUUCACUAUUGUAAAAAUGAAACCAAUUGACAUCAUGAGUCUCUGGAAAUGAUGCAUUGAGAAGGAUAUAACAUUAUCUCUGCUGUAUUCUUGAUAAAAAUUUUUAGCUGAAUAUAAUUAUAACGAAAAAAUUAGGCCAGAUGUGGUGAUUCAUGCCUGUAAUCCCAGCACUUUGGGAGGCCAAAGUGGGCAGAUCACCUGAAAUUGUGAAUUUGAGACCAGACUAACCAACAUGGAGAAACCCCAUCUCUACUAAUAAUACCAAUUUAUCCAGGCAUGGUGGCACAUGCCUGUAAUCCCAGCUACUCAGGAGGCUAAGGCAGGAGAAUCGCUUUAACCCAGGAGGUGGAGGUUGCAGUGAGCUGAGAUCCUGCCAUUGCACUCUUGCCUCCUGGGCAACAAGAGUGAAAGUCUGUCUCAAAAAACAAAAAAAAAAAAUAAGAAAAAAGAAAAGAAAAAAGAAUUAGAUAAAAUAUAGAAGAUGAGUAAUUCUACAAGACAAAUACCCUGGACUUUUCCAAAAUAGUAAUAUAAUGGAAAAAAAAAGAGAAUACUAUUUGAAAACUAUUUUAAAGAAGACUAAAUUUAUAUAGUAACUAUCUACCAUACAGGAUAGUUGUUUGAAUUUUGAAUUAAUUGUAUACAUAAGAAAUUUUGAACAAUUAGGAACAUUUGAAUAUGCAUUAUCUUCUAGGUAGUAUUAUUGCUUCAAUGUAACAUUUCUUAUGUAUGUGGGUGAUCAUGUGGACAAUGUCCUCCGUUCCCAGAGAUGCAUGCUGAAAUAUUCAGAAUGAAUGUCAUGACAUCAGAAAGUUUUUUCUUUUUUUUCAAAUCAAGAGACAAGUGACACAAAAUGUUAAAAUUGACUGAUGUAGAUAAAUAUUGGGGAUAUAUUUCUUGUAUUAUUAAAUUGUCUAUUGGUAGAGAUAUUUUUAAAUAAAAAAUAAUUAAAAAGCUGUUAUUUAUCAGUAGUCUUAGUUGAAAGCAACUGAGACCUAGCUAAUUAAAGCUGAAAAUGAUUUGGGUAGUUCGCAGAAGCUCUGAGAAGACCAGAUAGUUAGGUAUGCAACUUCACCACGAGAAAAAAUGCCACUGAGCUCAUCUCAUGCAGAUAGCGUCACUGAUUAUCCUGGGAAUAGACAGUGCUGCUGACACCACACCUGAGCAAUACAGAGCACUUCAAUUCACCACCCCGAACCCAUAGAAAGAAGCUGCUCUCUUUUGCCAGAAAGAAUUCUGCAGAGUUUCCAGCUUCUGGGACAAAAUCCAGCUUAUGUCCCAAUGAUUGGCUAAGCUUAACAUUGGUUCCUAGGAGCCCAAGAAAGCAGAAAUAUGACUUCCUGCACAGUUAGAGGUGGUUUUCUCCUUGUGCUAAACCUCACAAUGUAUGGCAGUUAAUUAACAAAGAAAAGGAGUUGGCAUGCUGGACAAAUGUCAAACUUUUACAAAGGCCCAAGUGAUAAUACCCUUCACCAAUAACCUCAGCGUGGC